UCUUGGCCGUGCGCGGAGGUGAAAGAAAAGGAUGUGAUGUUGAGCAGACGAAGGUGACAGUGGUAUACGUGUAAAUAAGAAAUGGACAGUUAGUACGAUUCGAAUCAUUUGUGUUGUGAAAAAGAGACCUUAGAUUGAAAGGCCCGGUGUUAUUUACGUCAAAAUAAUCACUGUGUAUACAUUAGCAGAUACAACUUCUUCAAGAAACUUAUGUUUGCCUGCAGUAGUAAUGUUUUGAAGAUACGUGUUCCCCUGCUUGUUUAUUUUUGAAACAGUUUUUAAUAGUAAUUUGUCGUGGUUCCCAAGUUUCGGUCUAGUUUGAACUAAGUUAAUCCAUGAUCCCCCAUUAUUUAAUUAUUUUACGCCGUUGACGAUUGUAAGAACUGCAUGUAUGGAAGUAUCGGCUAUUUUUAAUGACCAGCCAGAGGCUGAAGAACUCACCACAGGAAUUUUUGGUGAUUUGGGUGAAGAACCAUGGUUGAAUGUCACAGGAGGGGAUUCAGAUAUGAACAUGUUUUUCCACAGGGUAGGUUCAGAUCAGAUUAUAUAUCAGAGAAGGAAGAAGAAAUGUAAAAUAAUUGGAAAAUAUGUGAUGGGAGAUUUGCUAGGUGAGGGCAGUUACAGCAAAGUAAAAGAGCUGUUAGACACAGUUUCUCUCUGCAGAAGAGCAGUAAAAAUAUUAAAGAAGAAGAAACUGAGGAGAAUCCCAAAUGGGGAACAGAAUGUUCAGAGGGAGAUUCAACUGCUGAAAACACUACAACACAAGAAUGUAAUACAUUUGGUGGAGGUGCUGUACAAUGAUGAAAAACAGAAAAUGUAUAUGGUAUUGGAAUAUUGCGUUGGAGGACUACAAGAUAUGCUUGAAAGUGCACCUAAAAAGAAGUUCCCACUUUGGCAAGCACAUGGGUACUUUAGUCAACUUAUUGAUGGCUUGGAGUAUCUUCAUAGCAAAGGAAUUGUUCACAAGGACAUAAAACCAGGAAAUUUGCUUCUGACACUUGACGAAACACUCAAGAUAUCAGAUCUUGGAGUUGCGGAGUCAUUACAUCCAUUUGCAAGGGAUGACACUUGUUCAACAAAUCAAGGCUCUCCUGCAUUCCAGCCACCCGAAAUAGCAAAUGGUCAUGAGAGAUUUGCUGGGUUCAAGGUUGAUAUUUGGAGCAGUGGAGUUACUUUGUAUAACAUCACUACUGGCCAGUACCCCUUUGAAGGUGACAACAUUUACAGGUUGUUUGAAAACAUUGGAAAUGGGAAGUUUUCAAUACCAAAUGAACUUGACAAUCUCCUCACAGAUUUGCUUAGAGGGAUGUUGGAAAAAGAUCCAGAAAAGAGGCUCUCUCUACAACAAAUACGACAACAUCCGUGGUUCUUACACAAACCAGAUCGAACUACAGAGUAUGUUCCUGUGCCGCCUCUACGUGGAGAUGAUUAUCAUAUGAUGACAGUUUUGCCAUAUCUUAUGGAGUUCCAUUAUGGGGAAGAAAUUUCUGGCACUGAAAAUCAUGUUGAUUAUAUUACAGAGCACCAACUUAAUGAAAAGUGUUCUUUUUGUAGAGGAACGAAAGCAGCAGCAGCAGCAGCAAGAGACACAAGGACAGUUGAGACUGAAUGCAUCAGACUCUCAUCCACAUGCUGGUAGUGGUGGAAGUAAACGGCGCUGGAGACGACCAAUCUCGUGUAUUAGUGUAAAAAAAUUUCCCACUUGUAAGCAGUCGUAGCACCUCUUCUAUUCACUGGUGGCUCCCUUUCUACAAGAAGACCACAACCUCUGAUGAAUCUUCUGGUCAAGAAAUCCCAACGAAAGAAAGGAAAACUUUUGAGAUAUCCACGUACAACAAGUUUCGUUACAGCAAUCAGAUGAAGAGGGAAAUAGUUACCAGCUCAUUCAUCAGUGGAUUAGUUGUGAAUACAUUCAGUUUUCCAAAAACAAUCAAAUUCCUUUCUCUUACUCACAAGAAAGCUUAUCGACAAGGAAGAUUCUCCAUUAACAACAAUAAGGUAGAGGAUUUGAAGAAAGUGGAAGUUUGCAUUCAGGGCUAUGAAUCUUUCAACAAAGAAAUAUUCAGUUAGCCAACUAUCACUGAAAUGACUGAUAUUCUUCAUUCAGAUGUAGAAGAUGAGGACUAGAAUAGUUAAUAAACAACACUUUUGAUUUUACAGAAUGGAUAGUAGCAUGUUAUGACAUGCAAUAUCUAAGAUUUGCCUUAGAAGAAGAAGGAGGAGGAGGAAAGCUAUGUUUAGGCUAUCAUACGAAUAUGAGUGAAAUAUUAGUUGCUUUUCUACAAGUGAAGUGCAUUUUCUUAUAGAUUAUUCCAUGGAAAUAAAGAAAAGUAGUAGAGUUCAUAAAGGUGAUUUAUUACAGAAACAACACAUGCAAAAGUUUUUAAACCUGUUAUAUAAUCAAGAAUGGACUAAGGGAUAAAACAGUGUGUCAGUACAUUGGGAAAAUAUGUCAUUUACACAUAUAAUAUGUACAGAUCUGUUAAAAACAAUGUACUCUUGUGCAGUUACAUUGAUUGUUAAACUUGACUAGUGUUCAAUGACUGUUAUCCAAAAAGUUGUUCCGUAUAAAGAGAUAUGGUUGUCAAUGUAUUUUUAAUUUUUCACUUUUAGCAUUUCACUUUUGUAUGUAAAUAUAUGUUUCCUGCGCUCUAUUGAGAAGUGUGUGGUCUAGAACUAGCAUCACUAUUUAGACUAGUAUUCAUCUGCAACUUUUCACCUAUAUAUCUUUGCUUUUUGAUAAUGCUUUUAAUAUUAGGUACUGUUUAAUAUGCCCACAUAUUGGAGAGGUAGGCUUUUGAUCAGUUGAAGCUUUCAGAUAUGUUAAAGCAAUGAGAAGCUGUGAUAUGUCAGGAUUUCUCUACAGAUCUGUUGCAUAUACACUUCUCGGGUUUGCUGCUGUGUCAUAUUGUGCAAAUCCUACAAUAUUUCAUUGAUACAACUGUUCGGUGGUAGAUGCUGUUGUCACUGGUACAAGAUGCGACUGCUGAUAAUCGUGCAGAUGCGUUGGAAUUUAAUAGGCCAGAAGCAGGCAAUAUGCAUGCACAGGAAGACGCUUGCAGUUGGAGGAAAGCAGUGCCCAAAGAGGCCCGUGCUGGGAGCUGCAGAAAGCCUUCCACUCAUACACCAUGGGCAAGGACUGUGCUGCCGGACACACCUGUGGUUAAAAGCUGAAUUAAAUCUUAGCUGUGCACUUUGUUGAGUCCUGAAUAGGAAGUUCUUAUUUCUCCUGUUUUAAUUAACAGCAGCCACUGCUGGGUUCUAGGUGGUACUUAAUUGAAAACCUGCAUCCCUGUUGAAAAGAUUGUCCGCUGUGCAGGUAUUUACGGCCUCCUUAAGAACACAGUCCUAGAAAGAUAACACUGAGGAUAGAAUUUCAGUCUUCUUGUAAAAUGUGCAAUGCCCUGUGCCCAGGCAAUGCUCCACUACUGCUGAUUUAUCAGGUUGCCCCAGGCAUGUACAAAGAUGGUGUUCAACACAACACCCUUGCACGGUUUGGCAUGUCUGCUCAAUAUAAGAUUUCCCACAUUGGCAUGUGAUCUUAUAUACACUACAUUUCCUAAGGCCAAGAUCAUCUUUGACCAAACACAACAUAUUUCUCAAUUUUGCUGGUGGCCGGAAAACACACUUAAUAUCGUGUCUCUUGAGGAUUUUUUCUGUUCUUGAAGUGCAUGGGGCAGCGCAGUCUUUGCCCACAGUGCAUGCACAAAAGGCCUUGCUGCGACUCCUUGCAGGGGACACUUUGUGCACCGCUUUCCUCCAACUACGAAAGUCUUCCUGCAUACAUGUAUUGCCUGCUCCUGGCCUUAUAAAUUUCAAUGCCAAUGCACAAUUAUCAUUGGUCACAUCUUGUAGCAGUGAAAACAGAAUCUAUCACCACCUGAAGAUGUCAGACUGUCAUAUCAACAAAAUAUUGUGGGAUUUGCACAAUAUGAUCUGGCAGCAAACCCGAGAAGUCUAUUUGCAAUGAGAAGUUAUUUAUCACUAUAUUUAGGAGUACACAUGGGUUUUGUACUGAUAAUGCAUUUGUUAAUGCAUUAUUCAUUUAGACUGUUUAAUAAUUACUGGUAUUCUUGCAUUGACUAUAACUUAUUUAGUUCUUGCCCCGUUCUUACAAAUUGGUCAAGUGAUGUGUAUUUAUUUAAUAGCUUUUCAGUUUCUUUCAGUUAUUUACUUUGUACCACCCACUUUUUCCCCCAAUUUAAACUUUCAGACAUGAGUAGACUAGGGACAUGUGUACUAGAUUUUCUUCUUUAAAUCAGAUUGUAAUAAAUUUUUAUUGCUUUGUGUUGUGUCAAUUAUGUUAUAUAUACCUCAUAAUGUUUUUGUAUCCUGGUUAUUGUAUCGUUCAUGUAACAGAUUUGGUACACUAUUAUUGUGUGUAAUGACACUACGUUAAGUAUCAAGUAGUAUGUUGCACUUCACAUGUUUUUAAAAUGAUAUCAUGUAUUGACAGUGUUUCUGACAACAGUCGGUGCCAUGUGACAUUAAUAUUACUUUACUGUUUGGGUUGUUAUCAUCAUCAUAUUUUGUUCAUGCAUAUUGUAUUAAGGUUGUAAUUGUUUUAUUAUAUGACACUACUUAUUUCGAUGUGUUAGCUAUCAUGUUUGUAUCUUUGGUGUGUAAUUUCUUUGGUCGUGUAUAUCUCACACCUAUUUGGUCCCAUCUGUAAUAGUAGCAUUGAGAUUUUUUCUCUGCCAUUUAAUGGGACAUAGUGUUUCACUUUUGAAAUUUUAAUUCUUCUGGAUGUACACUGAAAGUUCGACUGUACUGCAGAAGUUCCUCAUAUAUAGAAUUACGUAUGACAUAUGAAGUCUUAAUUGUUUUAUUUUGUAAAUAACACAAAGAACUAUUUUUAUAUGUUGUCUUGCUUUUCUUUGAUUCUACAUUCUGUUUUCUUUGCUUUAUGUUGAUAAAGUUACAUGGACAAUGU